rnacentral:rRNA from 1 species
GACGAACCGUACGAACGUUAUUCGGAAUCACUGGGCUUAAAGGGUGCGUAGGCGGCGCGACAAGUUGGGUGUGAAAUCCCUCGGCUCAACCGAGGAACUGCGCCCAAAACUGUCGUGCUCGAGGGAGACAGAGGUGAGCGGAACUUCCGGUGGAGCGGUGAAAUGCGUUGAUAUCGGAAGGAACGCCGGUGGCGAAAGCGGUCUGCUGGCCCUCUACUGACGCUGAGGCGCGAAAGCCAGGGGAGCAAACGGG